rnacentral:lncRNA from 1 species
CUUUCAUCGAUUCCACCGCCGCCGCGUCACCGUUACUACUACUACUACUACUACUAUCAUCACUACGACCGUCACUAAUUGCUAUCACUACAACUACCACUCCUAGUACUUAUUAUUGUACACUAACACCACCACCACCAACAACAACAACAACAACAGCAACACGACUACUAGUAGUUCUACUAUUCCACAGCAACACUGCCACCGUCACCGCCACUACUAGUGUUAUAGGUUUCUACACUAUUGCCAUCAUCAUCACCAACACUACCAAAAACUACAGGUGGUACUUCUAUACUAUAUUGUACCACAACCACAACCACCAUCAUCAAUCACCACUACACCUAUUCAACACUACUACUACUACUACCAAUACUACCACCACCACCACCACCACCGCCGCCGCCACUGCCACCACCAACACCACUAUAACCGAAUCACACCGUCACCAUCACCACUACUAGUACUACUAUUCUACACUAAUACAACGACUGCCAUCACGACCACUACCACCACCACUACCACAUUUUUCUAUUCAACAAUACUGCUACUACUCCUACCAUCACCACCACCACCACCACCACCACAGCCACUACUACAAUCACCUCUGCCGCCGUCACUACCACCACCAUCACCACCAUAACCAAAUCACACCCAGUUACCGAGUUGGACGGACACAUGGCUGGAAUUAUGAUAAAUCUAUUAAUAAGCUUCAGGUAGAAAGAAAAAGAAACGAAGAAACAGCAGGCAACGUUAGUUAGUAAAAGAGAAAAGGUGAGUGCCCAGCUAAAAUAUUCAUUUCUAUAGUUGAUUAUUUUUUUUCUUCUUUUUAUACGCUCCCUUAUGUAACCCCACUCCGUAUCGUCCUGUAUCGUCCCCAAUGUUUUUAUGAACCCUUCACAGACUAAUACAUUAUUAUUAUACCUUAGAUUUAUCACUGUCACUAUUAUUAUUAUUAUUAUUAUUAUUAUUAGUCCCAGGUCAGUUCGGAUCAAGUAGGCCUUUAUGAACAACGAAAACGUUCAAGCUAUGAUCAGCCCCCUUUUUUGAUAAAAAUUUUUUGAAAAAAUUAAGGCAUUGUGUAUUCUGGACUGUACUGUUUUGAAUAUAGUCUCUUAAUCUUACACAAUCUUUUUUUAAGGCGAUAGAAAGUUAUCUGAAAGCGAUUUGACUGCUAUUUCUAACAGAGUGAGCGAUCACGUUUAGACAAUACACCUUCCACGAUGUUGUUUUGCUCCGUCUCAGGCAUGAAGUCCCUAGAAAAUUUUAAAACAAAAUUUUGAAACGUAAUAUAUCCUGAAUUACAUUACCUUGAAUAAACUGUCUUUAAUUUUCUCUUAUUAAGUCGAAACUACGAUUUGAGGGAGAUUGGACUGGUAUUUCUAGCAAACGGAGCAACCACGUUAAGACACAGCAUCCCUAUUAUUAUUGUUUAGCUGCUGCUCAGCCUUAACAUCCCUAGUAUUUUUAUUCAUUUUUUUCCCUUUCAGACACCGUUUAUCUAGGAUUAUCCAAUGUGUCCUUUUUACUUAUUAAAGACAGUAUUUUGUAUUCCGAGGGAAAUUUGGCUGUUAUUUCUUGCAUGUCCUACGGCUGUGCUAGAAGCACCCUCUCAUUCGUUCAGAAAUUCAGAGAUCACUGCUGUUCCAACCGUGACCUUAACAUCUUUUAUCGUUUGUUGUAGUUAUUAUUGUUUAGCGUCAGGUAAAUUCAGAUUGAGUAGACUUAUGAUCAAAGACUCUCCAAUGGUGACCGUCCAGCUUUAUGUUUCGGAUAGUCUAUGUAGGACUACAUCAUCCGAUGUGUUCUCCCUCACCACGAAGACAGCAACGUAAGCUUCACCUUUGUUAAUUAAUCGUUUUGUUAAUCAACGUUGCUAGUGUCUUUUGGAAAGGCAUCAAUGCCGCUACCUCCUGUUUCGUUCAUUUUCUCUAAUAAAAAUAAAUACAAGUAACAAUAAAAAACACGAGAACCUUACGUUUAUGUAUAAGUAUGAAUGUAUAUGUUGAUAUGUGUAUGUUUGUAUGCAUAUGCAAAUGUGUGUAUAGGUAUGUGCGUAUGUAUGUGUGUGUAUACGUAGGUAUGUGUGCAUGUAUGUGUAUAUGAAGACGUGAUGUAUAUGUGAGUAGGUAUGUGUGUAUGUAUUUAUGUGUGUAUGCAUGUAUAUAUAUCUGUAUGUAUGUGCUCAUAUGUACCUGCGUAUGUACACAAAUACAUAUGUAUAUAUUAGGUUAUAUAUGCAUAUGGCGCAAUGGCCCAGGUGUUAGGGCAGCGGACUCGCGGUCGUAGGAUCACGGUUUCGAUUCUCAGAGUGUUUAUUGAGCGAAAACACCUAAAAGCUCCACGAGGCUCCGGCAGGGGGUGGUGAUCGCUGUUGUACUCUUUCACCACUCUUUCUUCUGUUGGCCUGCUCGCUUAGCCAGCGGGGUGGCAUCAUUCAAAGGCUAAAACAAUGCGAUCGCAUUGUGACCAGCGAUGUUUAACAACAUCUGUUGGUCUGGUCAGUCACGUGAUGGUGAUGGUGAUAUAUGCAUAUAUCCAUGUAGGGAUGCAUGUUUAUAUGUAUGUAUGCAUGCUUGUUGGAGAAAGUGACUUGACAUAGUUAUUCCAAUUACUUUACGUUCUGAGUUCUACUUUUCCAUUCGUCUUUUCGGGGCUGAUAAAAAAAAGUGGGGGGGGGAUAGGUAUCAGUCCAGGCUGGAGGGAUGACGAAAUUCUUAUAGUUUUGGACAAAAUACGUAUGUGGUAUUUUUUACUGUCCUUUAAUCUUUCUGAGUUCACCUGCCAUGACGAAACGGUGGUUGCCGAGCGGAAAGGAUGCCUGUUCUCUGGAGAACCGUUAAUAUUUCAUAUAAAAUAAAAUUAAAAAAUACUUGUCCAAAUCUGACUCCUAGAAGAGAACGGGAACUUUCCAGAAGCAGGUCCAUGGUUACGUGAUAUGAAUAGCCUAAAAAUAGCGUGUGUGUAUGUAGGUAUUUGUAUGUAUGUAUAUAUGUAUGUAUGUAUGUAUGUAUGUAUGUAUGUAUGUAUGUAUGUAUGUAUGUAUGUAUGUAUGUAUGUAUGUAUGUAUGUAUGUAUGUCUAUAUAGGUAGGUAUGUGUGUAGGUAUGUAUAUGCGUGUAUGUAGGUAUGUAUAGAUAUGUAUGCGUGCAUGUCUGUAUGUAAAUAUGUAUAAGUAUGUGCGUGUAUGUAGGUAUGUGUGUGCAUAUAUGUGUAUAUAUAGCUGUUUAUAUAUAUAUGUGUGUGUGUAUAUGCAGGUAUAUAAGCAUAUCCAUGUAUCUAUGUGUAUGUAUGUAUGUAUGUAUGUAUGCGUGUAUGUGAGUUUGUGUAUGUAUACAUGUGUACGAAUGCAUGUGUGUAUUUAUAUGCAUGUGUGUAUGUAUACAGUAAUCUUUCGCCAUAUCGCGGUUCACCUAUCGCAGUUUAUUAUUUAAGCUUACGUCGAUUCCUCCGUGGUGUUGUUUUGCAUUUAUAAUAAAAUAAAUAUAUACAAAUUAUAAAAAUGAUUUCAAAAAAUUCACAGUACAGCACUGUUACUUCGCGGAUUUUCACCUAUCGCGAGAGGUUUUGGAACGUAACAGCCGCGAUAAUCGAGGGAUUAUUAUUAUUUUUUUUUAUAGAAUUCAAGCCAGUCACUAACAAAGUGUCAAGGCUCUUUCAUUCUUGAGGUUUGUGGUUACCUGAAUUAUGUAAUAUCAGCAUGUGCGCGUAUUGUGUCUGUGUCCGUGUGUGGGGGUUUGCGUGCAUGGGUGCGUGUCGAUAAACUUGUACUUGUGUGUGUGAGACAAUAGAACGCAAGUGUGCAUGUAUGUAUUUAUGUACGGUGUUUGCAUGUACACGUGUAUGUAUAUAUGUAUGGAGGGAUGUAUCCGUGCAUGCAUCUAUGUGUAUGUGUGUGUAUGCAUGUAGGUAAGCAUGCAUGCAUGUGUGUGUAUGUAUGUAUGUAUGUAUGUAUGUAUGUAUGUAUGUAUGUAUGUAUGUAUGCAUGUAUGUAUAUAACAAAAGAAGCACUUUUAUAAAGUUCAUUGGAGAGGGAAACCGUGACAUGCUGACCCGAAGUUCUAAGCUGGAGGUUGUGGGUGCCAUAAAGUAAGUACUAGUUGCAUAUUUUCCCUCCCAGUUUUUAAACACCGUUUGUGUUUGGAAUUUAAAACUAGUUCUCCCAGACAAAUUUAUUGCAUUCAGCCAACUUAAGAUAUUAUUAUUAUUCGUUAAUGUCGAGUUCAAAGCCCGCCAACUCCAACGUGGCCUUUCAUCCUACGGGGGUUGAUAAAAUAAGUACCAGACAAGUACUAAGAUCGAUAUUAAUCGAAUAUACCCUCCCGCCAAAGUAGUGGCAUUGUGCCAACGUUAGAAAUCAAUACUGAGUCGUCUUUGCCUUUCAUCUUUCCUGGUUUCGAGGAAGAUUAGUGAUAACAAAUGUACUAGUUGAUGAUGGUAGUAAUGUUUAUAGUGUUUAGCCCCAGAUCAAUCCUUACGUGUACGAUGAAAGGUGUUUCAUUCAAGGCUAUCCCACCUUAUUUCCAAACAAGACGACAUUAUUUAAAGUAUUCUUUUCUUUUUUGUUUUCUAUUUUUUUAAGGUUGUAAGGUUGACUCGAGGUUUAAUAUGCUUGCUACUUCUAGCAGAUUGAAUGACUGCAAAACGUUACCUCGCUGGCUCUUAUUAUUAAAGCAGUGUAAGGCGGUGAGCUUGCAGAAUCGUUAGCACGCCGGGCAAAAUGCUUAGCAGCAUUUCGUCUGUCUUUGUGUUCUGAUUACAAAUUCCGCCGAGGUCGACUUUGUCUUUGAUAUUUUCGAAGUCGAUAAAAUAAGUACCAAUGAAGUUCUAGUAUUGAUGCGAUUGACUUACUUCCUUCCCUAAAAUUGUUGGCCUUAUUACCAAAAUUUGAAACCAUAUCAUGAGUUGCGUUUAGGGCGUUGAGCUGGUAGAAUCAUUAGGGUAUCGGAAAAAAUACCUUGCGAUAUUUGUUCCAGCACUUUACACUCUUGAGUUCGGAUCUCACUGCAGUCAAUUUUUACUUCCAUUCUUUCGGAGUCAAUAAACGAAAGUACCAGCCAAAUAUUGGGGUCAAUGUAAUCUGCUAAGCCCUAUUGUCCUCAAAACUAGCCUUGUAACAAAAUUAGGGAUAAGCUCUAUUAUUUUGAGCCGUGGAAAAAAAAAAUACUUUGCGGUUCCGGAUGGUUAGAACGUUGAUCAAAAUACAUUGCCACAUUCUGAGUUCAAAUUCCGCCAGAGUUAAUUUUGCCUUUUAUCCUUUCGGAGUCCAUAAAAUAAAUCAACUGUCUAAUACUGGGGUCGAUAUAAUCGACUAUCCUAUCCACCCUCCUUCAAAUUCCAGGCCCCGAAUUAUUAUUAUAAUAGGACAGUGAAUUUUGGUAGCAUCGGUAGAAUGUCGGACAAAAUGUCUUUCAAUAUUUAGUUCGGUCUUUUUACGUUCUAAAUUCGGCGGAGGUAAAAAAAUACGUACACCACCCGUUUUCGGCGUAACAAAAACCUUAAACCUAACCCUAAAUACCGGGUGUGCGUAUUCUUUACUUUCACCCUAAAUUCAACUCCCGGUGAGGUCAGAUUUGUUUUCAUCCUUUCGGGAUGAAGUACAUGUUGUAGAAGUGACUGGUUCACUUGGUUUCUGUUCGGGAUCCUUUCCGAUCAUUUGCGAAAGGACCUGAAUAUAUUUCAGCGUUACAAACUAUUCAUGACUUCUCUAAGUUUUAGAGAAACCGCAGUUUCGGUAGUUAAUCGGAACGGAAUCUCCCUACGCCCCCAUUGUGUUUUUACACCUUUUUUUGCCAUAAGAAAUAAUUUUUUCUCCACAGUUUACUGCAAUGAACUGCGUUUAGAAGUUGAAAUAUGUAACAAUCAAAUUUUUAGCUUAAGUUCGUUUAUGCCCCCUCUUUCUCUUUCUCCCUCUCUAUAUAUCAUCUAUCUAUCUAUCUAUCCAUCCAUCCAUCCAUCCAUCUAUCUAUCUAUCUAUCUAUCUAUCUAUCUAUCUAUCUAUCUAUCUAUCUAUCUAUACACACACACACACACACACACACACACACACACACACGAAUGUAUACGUAUAUAGAUAGAUAUAAUACAUACGUAUAUCCCUUUCCCAUCAACAGGCCCUACGAAAAAUGUUUAAAUGUUUUUAUUUAUUUAGCCCCAGGUCAACUGUGAAUAAAUAAAACCACGACCAAAGAUAUUCCAGCCACGACCAACUACCCUUUAUCAAUAAAUUGAUUAUUUAUUUAGUUAUAUAUUUAUUUUAGUUCUAUGACUGUUACCACUCUCAUUCUAUUUAUAACUAAGCGUGUCGGGCCUAAUUUGAGAGAUUUGGUUGCUACUUUAGCAGACUGGGUAACCACGUAGAAAUUCCUUCCUAUGUUAUAGUUGUAGCUUUUGCUGUUGUUUAACCCUAGGCCACAUUCGAUCAAUCAGACCUAUGAUCGAAGCUCAUUAAAUCUCUUAUUUCAUUGUUUAGGGUGUCCUUAAGGCGGUGAGCUGGCAGAAUUGUUAACACGCCGGACAAAAUGCUUAGCGAUAUUUCUUUCGGUGUUCUGAGUUCGAAUUCCACUGACGUCGACUUCGCUUUUCAUCCCUUCGGGGUUGAUGAAAAUAAGUACCAGUUGUGUAGUGGAGUCGAUGCAAUCGAUUAUCCUCUACCUCCAAAUUCCAGGCCUUGUGCGUACAGAAAAAAAAAACGAUUAUUUAAGGUGUCCAUUUUUUAUAAGAUAAAGCAGGGGUUCUCAAUUAGGGGUCCAUAUAAGAUUUUUGGGGGUCCAUGCAAGCAAAAUAGUAAACUGGGGAUCCACUGUGGUAUUUUAAGGUCCAUGUAUCUAUUGCAAGGUACAGGUUUCUUUUCCUAACGUUUUACAUAUAUCAACCUAUGCAAAUUAAUGUGUGAAUAACAAAAUGGAAAUUUUAAUAGAUCGUUAGCCACUACACACAUUUUUUUCUCUCCUUGUUUUUUCUGUGACCCUUUCUGUAGAAGAGCGUAGGCUCGAAACGUAAAACACUUUUUCUAUUCCUGAGCGUUAUACUAAUACAUCUGAUUGUUUUGUACACCUUUUGUUUUUUUCGUAAACUCUCCCUAUAUAUAAAACUAGCUUUUAAACAUCGAAUGGCUAUGGGGUUUCACCAGGAUAGAAUAGUUAUGAAAUGAGUCCAUUGAUGAAAAAAAAAUGGUCGAGAACCACUGAGAUAAAGUGUGAUUUAGGGGAGACUUGAUCGUUAUUUCUAGCAUGUCGAGCGACCGCAUAGGGGCUCCAUCCACUUUCGCUGACGUAGAAUAUUUAAGACUACAUUUUCUAUUGCGCCUUUCCUUUUGUAAGAUAGCAGAAUGCGAUUUGGCUACUUUUUACCUUGUUGGCGGGUGACAGCUUCCAUUCUCACCCCUCAACCCCAUACAACAGCAGACGUUUUCAGUCAUUGCUCCGUGGGACAUUUGUGCGCCAGUUACGAGACGCAGUUGUGUCGCGAAUGGCAGUGACGUAACUCAGGUUGCGCGGACCGCAGAGGGCGGCCACUUUAAACACGUGUGUUUGCUGUUGUCGAAGGUAUGUUGUAUUUAAAGAAGUAGGCGCUCAGUUUAGCUUACUGCACAGGGCAGUCCAAACCCUCCUUAUAGUAUAUGGCUACUGGUUUGUUCCGAGUUUUCGAGGAGAAUAGAACUAUGGGGGGGUAGGUAGAAAACUUGAUGUACCGCACUAGUGUAUUAUGUGGUGUGUGUGUGUACGAAGGAGUGCUGAUAAGUUCCUGGCUUUAAGGAUGUUGCGAAAGGCCUGGUUGGAGGGCCAACCUUCCGAGUUCUUUUACAAGGCUCAGAAAAACUGAAGAAUUGCUUCGAUUAGUGUGUGAAUCUGGGAGGGGAAUAUAUUGAAGAAAAUGGUAAUUAACUCAUCUUCCUGUAUUUUUUUUUACUCAAAGCUAGGAACUUUUCAACACUCUUAAAUAUUUUUAUCUGUAUUUGUAUAUAUGUAAAUAUAUGAGUGUGUGUAUACAUACACACGUGCGUAUAUGUGUUUGUAUGUGCGUAUGUAUAUAUAUAUAUAUAUAUAUAUAUAUAUAUAUAUAUAUAUAUAUAUAUAGGAUGUAUAUGUAUGUAUGUAUGUAUGUAUGUAUGUAUGUAUGUGUGUAAGUAUGUAGCAAGUGCGGAAAAAAAUGUGCGUCAGAAGGCGGGCUAAAAUGUCAUACGAAGAUUCAGCGUGACAAUAUUGUUACACCUACUGUAAGAGGCGCCCCUCGUUGUCACAUUUGUACAAAACAGUAUAAGUCUAAUGCAGAAUUGAAAAGUCACGUCCAAGCGAUGGUAUUACUGCAACCAUCAUAUAUGUGUGUACGUAUGUAUAUGUGUGUGCACAUAUACAGAUAGAUAGAUAGAUAGAUAGAUAGAUAGAUAGAUAGAUAGAUAGAUAGAUAGAUAGAUAGAUAGAUAGACAGACAGACAGAUAGAUAGAUAGAUAGAUAGAUAGAUAGAUAGAUAGAUAGAUAGAUAGAUAGACAGGCAGAUAGAUAGAUAGAUAGAUAGACAGACAGACAGAUAGACAGGCAGAUAGAUAGAUAGAUAGAUAGAUAGAUAGAUAGAUAGAUAGAUAGGUAGGUAGGUAGAUAGAUAGAUAGAUAGAUAGAUAGAUAGAUAGAUAGAUAGAUAGAUAGAUAGAUAGAUAUGUGUAUAUAGAUUAUGUAUGCGUAUAUAUUUGUAUGUGUAUGUACAUAUAUGUAUAUAUGUGUGUGUGCACUUAUAUAUAUGUGUGUACGUAUGUAUAUGUGUGUGCACAUAUGAAUAUAUAUAUGUGUGUUUGUACGGUAUGUAUGCGUAUGUACAUGUAUAAAUAUGCAUGUGUACAUUAUAUAUGUUAUAAAUACAUGUAACAUAUGUCGUAAUAUACACAUAUAUAUAUAUACGUAUGUAUGUACAUAUAUAUAUGUAUUAUGUAUAUACGUGUGUGUAUAAGUGUUUGAUUUAAUAUAUACAGGUGUGUAUGUAUGUAUGUUGUUAAGUAGGUAGAUAGGUAUAAAAAGGAAGGAAAGAAGCGUUAUUAAGAUUCCUAGAGAGGGGAAGACAGAGAUACACAAUUAAAGUGCAAAGCACUAAAUCAUUCAUUUAAAUCAUAACCAUCUUAAAACAAAAAAUUUUAAUACUCGUUUAUUUACAUAAUAAAACUUUUAAUAGCUAAUCGCGUGACGUAACACCUAUUCAAAGUGCCGUACAUCAUAGAAUAUGGUUAAGAAUCGUUGUCACAGAGAUAUUUCGUGGUGAUUGUAGCAGAGAUGUCCUUGGAAAUGCAGAAUUUUUUAAAUCAUAACCGUCUUAAAACAAAAUUUUAAUACUCGUUUAUUUACACUAUUUAGAAACUCUUCUUUCUGUCUGUUCAUCUUCUGUUUUAUCUACAUUUAGGAUGCUUUAUCAGAAUAAAUUCAUUAUCUAUCUAUCUAUCAACUAUUUCUCAGACUACCUGUCUCAAUCUGUGUUUACCUAUCUAGCUAUCUAUCUAUCUAUCUAUCUAUCUAUCUCUCAGACUACCUGUCUCGAUCUGUGUUUACCUAUCUAGCUAUGUAUCUAUAUUUCUUUCUUUCUUUCUAUUUAUCAAGCGAUCUCUUUCCAUCAGUCUGUCUAGCCAUCGUUCUGUGUCUGUCUCUCUGUCUCUAAUUUUCUUUCCCAAGACACUAACCCUCAGCAGGAGUCCUACUUAACUCAUAAGCCAAGGUUUCAGUCUCUGUUUUUAUUGCUCAUAUUGUUUUUAUUACUCAUAUUUCUCAGCGUUGAUCGAGCAACCACGACCGUUCUGUCUUUUUUGCCUCCGGAUAAUGUAUCUAGGACUAUGUUAUCGAAUUUUAUUCUCCUUGCUUUUUUGAGGUGUGAUUUAAGACAUUCUGUUACUAUUUUUAGCCGAUCGUGCGACCGCAUUGAUGCUCUCUCUCACUCUUUCGCUGAGUUGUGUUGUAGUAUCAGUCCUUGUUAUUUAACCCUGGGUCAACCUUGUUCGAGCAGACUCAUGACCAAGGGUAUUCCAUCUGUGACUAUCUCAUCUUUUCUUACAUGCAAGGGACCGAUGACCACGUAAUCUAACGUUUUAAGACAGUGGCGAGUGUGAUUUGAGGGUACUUGACUGCUAUUUCUAUACGUUCAGGUGACUGUGUAAAGGUUUCUCCCUUUGCAUCUUGUAGGCUGCCAGUGGUUCUGUAGAUGAGUUUUGGCGGUAGAUAGAAUAACGUGAUGGCCGACGUUAUUCUAUCUUCACUUUCGUUUCUUGUUUAUCAUCAUCGUCAUAGAAUUCGGAGAGAAGGUUCUUAUCUGGUUAACCAGCCAGGUCCAGAAUUUAUGUGGAGGGGCAGUUGUAUGAUUGGCUUCCCUAAACAGCUGUCCAUUUUUGUGGGGUGGGACCCACAUAUACAUACACACUCAUUUGUAUGCAUGUGUAUAUAUAUAUAUAUAUACAAAAUGGGACAAGAACGCAAAACAUCCGAACAGCUAGUGACAACAAAACAUCCAGAUAGACGAUACAAAGAAAACAAGGACGGGUCAUUCGAACUUUUCUUUCCUCAGUCAAGCACCAUAUUAUCCUCGUAAUUUCGGCUGAUUAUUUUUGAGAUUGCUCCAAUCUGGCCAGCCCCAAGGAAAAACUAAGCUAAGAGCAUUAGAUUCCUUGGAAGAAAGCAGCGAAUGUAUACAAAAACAAGGACGGAAAAAACGGACAAAGUUACACAAAUAUAAAUACAAUAAUAAAUAAUAAAAAUAAUAACAGGACAUUAUAUAUAUAUAUAUAUAUAUAUAUAUAUAUAUAUAUAUAUAUAUAUAAUUAUUAUGCUGUAUUCUGUUAGGAACGUGUUAGAGUACAGUAUAGACCUUGUCCACCUUCAGAAUAACCCCAGUAGUAUAGGUAGUAUUGGUCGGGCAAACGCGCUGUCACAGCUCGCUCCAUGAGGAUUUCAGCCACAAUCAAAUUCAAGCUUCUACAAACAGAGAGGAAGGCCUUGAAGUCGAAGAUUUUAAGCUAACGGAGACAACACUUGUAUAUCGCCCGAGAAAACACAACUAGAUUUCAUUAUGUAAGCAAACGGUUGCAUAAUCAAAUUGCUGUAUUCUUGGAGAACUAUGUUGUGUCGAAACAAUUGUAGCGAAUAAUAAACAAAUGUCCAAUCGUACUCCCUCUUCCUAACUCCAAUUUCUUCAGAUAUAUAUGUGUGUGUGUCCUUUCUACGAGAGGCACAAUACUUUAAAUUUUGGAGGAGGGGGCUGGCCAAUUACGUCGGUCUCAGUAUUCACCUAUAACUUAUUUUAUGAUAGGAAAAGUCAACCUCGACAGAAUUUGAACUCAGAACGUAAACCAGAAGAAAUGUCGCGAAGCAUUUUGUCCAGCGUGCUAGUGAUUCUGAUGGUUUUAUGUAUUACAAUCUGACAGACUCAUUGUAAAACCCCGUCACUUUAAAAAAAAUUUUCUUAAAUUGUACAUGUGAUAUCAGAUGCCUCUAUGACAAUAAAAGAACCCGUUACUGAGAACCCCUUCGGUCACGACUGACCAUGGGAUUGCACCUAGAAAGUUAUCCUCCCAGGCCCAAGUCCGGGCAAGACCAGCAGUCGCCCAUGCAUACCAGCCUCAGGCCGAUUCAGCUUGGCACCUGUGACGUCGCAACUCGUUUCUACAGCUGAGUGAACUGGAGCAACGUGAAAUAAAGGGUCUUGCUCAAGAACACAACACGCAGCCCGAUCCGGGAUUCGAACUCGUUGUUACUACAAUUAUUGUUAAAGUGGUAAUGAGUUCAAAAUCCGCUGUGGUCGACUUUGCAUUUCAUUUCUUCGGGGUCGAUAAGAUAAGUAUCGAUUGAGCUCUGGGGUCGAUGUACAAUUACCCACCUCGCCCAACAGUUCAGAUCAUGCGCCUAUAGUAGAAUAAAUAAGGUUGCGAGCUGGCAGAAUUGUUAGUGUUGGAAAAAAAAAUGUUUAGCGGCAUUUUUCUGGCUCUUUAUGUUCUAAAUUCAAAUUAUGCCGAAGUCGACUUUAUCUUUCAUCCUUUCGAAGUCGAUAAAAUAGACUACCACUCAAAUAUUAGCGCCGAUUUAAUCAUCGCCUCACUCAAAUAUUAGCGUCGAUUUAAUUAUCACUUCACUCAAAUUUUAGGCUUUGAUAGAAUCUAUUAUUUCUUUAUGUUUUCAGUUCAAUCCUCACCGGGGUCGACUUAAACCCUUUGCGUCUUCAAAGCAUUUUAAUUUGUUUGUCCUAAACGUCCAUGAUUGUCUUCAGAUUGUUUUUUUUUUUUUUUUAGUUAGUCUUGUUUCAUACGUUCUGACUAUAAUAAAGCUUUGGUUAAUGUUUACAUCUUGAUCCGGAAAUGAAAAUAAAAAUUUAAAAAAUACUGUAAUGGGUGUAAAACAAUGUGUAGGAAAUAAAUAUGAAAAAAAAUGCGCACAAAGCAACGGAAGGGUGGGGAGAGGACUUGGGAAAAUUCACAAGAUCCGGGCUUUUUUCCCUCAUAACUUUUAGGAAAAUGGUUUUUUUUUCAAUGAAAUUUUAUAGAAAUACCAUUCAAAUGGCAUACAUUACGAUUAUAAAGAAAUUUGUGGCAAAAAUCUUUUCCAAAGGGUAGGAAGAGGAUUUCGGAAAAUUCACAAGAUCCAAGUUCUUCCCUCAUAACUGUAUAUGUGUGUGUAUAUAUGUGUGUAUACAUAUGUAUAUAUAUAUGUAUAUAUAUAUAUAUAUAUAUAUAUAUAUAGAUAGAUAGAUUGAUAGAUAGAUAUAUAUAGAUAGAUAGAGAGAGAGAGAGAGAGAGAGAGAGAGAGAGAAAGUAAUAACGAGUGAAUGAAAAUAACGACGAAGGGUUAAAAAAGCGUAAAAAUAAUCGAAAAUGAAAUAAAAUUGAAGCCAAAACAUUAAAAAUUAUUGAAAGUGGGUAGAAACAAGCACAAUGUAUUGUAGUAGUACUACGCUAGGGUAUCUGUAGAAAGUUGAAUGUGAUUUCGGAAUAUAACGAGGAAUUUUCCGAAAGUCCUCUCCCCACCUCAAGAUUUUCCCCACAAAUUACUUUAUCGUCAUAAUGUCUGCCGUUACAAAGGUAUUUAUAUAAAAUUUCAUUGAAAAAACUCCCAUAUUCCUAAAAGUUAUGAGGGAAUAACUCGGAUUUUGUGAAUUUUCCGCAGUCCUCUCCCCACCCGCUUUGAAAAGAUUUUCCCCGCAAAUUUCCUUAUAAUCGUUAUGUAUGCCGUUUGAAUGAUAUUUCUAUAAAAUUUCAUUGAAAAACAACUCCCAUUUUCCUAAAAAUUAUGAGGGAAAACUCGGACCAUGUGAAUUUUCCGAAGUCCUCUCCCCACCCUCCCGUUGUUUUGCGCGCAUUUUUUUUUCAUAUUCGUUUCCUACACAUUGUUUUACACUCAUUCCAAUACAUUUUUUUUUAUUUUCGUUUCCGAGUCAAGAUGUAAAUUAUAACCAAAGCCUUUUCUUUCAUUAGUCCCAAGAUUCUCUAGCGGUUGAAAAAAUUGUGUAUUAUAUUUGAUGCAUGGACGCCAGAGAAAUAUGUCCUGCAUAUCACAUGUAAAUAACACAAAGAAGCAACGGACUAAUUUUUACUGUUAUGAAGUUAGCGAUCGAUUGUAAUAUGUCCCAGUGAAAUACUUGUCGAUCUAAUUGACUAAAUUACUUCCUCUUCGCCUUGUCCACUAUAUAAGAAAUUAUUAGUAUAUGUUUACGCAAUUUCACGUAAUAUUAGUACAUAUGUAUACGGUUUUCUACUGUAUUGUAAUGAAAUAUUUUAUUUUGAUGCCAAGGCAAAUUUGACGUGGUCGUUCGACCUACUUAGAAAUAACAUCCAAAUGCCACCCAAAUCAAACACUAUCGUCUUGAAAAAGGAAAGAACACAUUAGAUAUAAUAGUCCUAGAAAUGUGAGAGAUGGUCCCAGUUAAAACGCCAUUAAUCUAUAUUGUCUGCUCGUUCACGCAGUCUACACUCCAGACACAUACGACCAGACGAAUGCUCUUCGUUAAUCACCAUAUCUUGAACGCCUUGCUUCUCGGGCCAUCCUACACACUAAAUCAGUGAUUCCCAACUGGGGUACAUAUAAGAUUUCUGGGAGUCUACGCAAGCAAAACAGUAAACUGGAGAUCCAUAGUAGUAUUUUAAGGGUCCAUGAAAAAUUUUGAUUACGAUAUAUUUAUUGCAACAAACAGCUAGGUUUCUUUCUCUCAGAGAGUUCUGUUGCAACUCUAUACAAGUGAACGCGUGGACAUCAAAAUAGGAAUUUUGAAAAAAGUGUCUACAAAACUAGUUUUUAAACAUCGACUGGCAAUGGGCUGUGCUCCAGAAUAAAGUAGAAAUGAAAGGGGUCCAUAGAUAAACAAAAAUAGUUGAGAACCAUUGGACUAGAAUUUCGAUUAUAUUUAGCAGCUCGCUUAGUAGAAGCCCAAAAUAUUAUCUACUGUUUUUCCAGGUACAACUUCGGCCACCUUUUAGAAUUCAAUAUCUCUACCAGCCAUGAACAAGCUUAAAAGAUUAAAAAAAAAAACGUAGCAGCCAUAACUUUCGGUAACGAUUUUUUUCCACGCUAAGAAUUGCCUAACCAUGGAAUAAACCACCCAAGUCAGUUCUUAGUUGUCAGGAUGAUGCGUUCUUUAAAAAGUUCAUGCUUCCUGGAAUUCACCAAGACUUCUUCUGACGCGUCUGUGCAAUCAUUUUUCUUUGUGAUUCCUUUACUGUUCUGUCUUUUUGUAUUUUAUUCUGUAUAUAUUUUGACUCUUUUACUCUUUUACUUGUUUCAGUCAUUUGACUGUGGCCAUGCUGGAGCACCACCUUUAGUCGACCAAAUCGACCCCAGGACUUAUUCUUUGUAAGCCUAGUACUUAUUCCAUCGGUCUCUUUUGUCGAACCGCUAAGUUACGGGAACGUAAACACACCAGCAUAUACAGGCACACACACACACAUAUAUAUACAUAUAUACGACGGGCUUCUUUCAGUUUCCAUCUACCAAAUCCACUCACAAGGCUUUGGUCGGCCCGAGGCUAUAGUAGAAGACACUUGCCUAAGGUUCCACGCAGUGGGAUUGAACCUGGAACCAUGUGGUUGGUAAGCAAGCUAGUUACCACACAUUCAAAUAAACAACAUUUUUCGUUAUCGUUGCAUUUGUGGAAAAUAAAUAACAUCUUGUAUUUCGGUUGUCUUGAAAUAGGCUUCGCAUCCACGUAGUUCCGAGUUCAGUGUCAUUUCGCGGCACCUUGGACAAGUGCCUUCUACCCUAGUUCUGAGCCUACCAAUACAUUGAGAGUGAAUUUGAUCAAAGGAAACUGUAUGGAAGCUUGCCGUUUGUAUAUAGACAUAGACAGAUAUACACAUUUCUAUGAAAAGUUCUUCCUGAGCCAUAGGUCCAUAAGGUCUGGAUUCUGUGGCUUAUAUACCCUGACCCAUUUUUGCCAACGUGAAAUGAAAUGUUUUGCUGGGCGAAAUGCUUGGCGAUAUUUCGUCUGCCGCUACGUUCUGAGUUCAAAUUCCGCCGAGGUCGACUUUGCCUUUCAUCCUUUCGGAGUCGAUAAAUUAAGUACCAGUUACGCACUGGGGUCGAUAUAAUCGACUUAAUCCGUUUGUCUGUCCUUGUUUGUCCUCUCCGUGUUUAGCCCCUUGUGGGUAGUAAAGAAAUAGGUAUUUCGUCUGCCGUUACGUUCUGAGUUCAAAUUCCUCCGAGGUCGACUUUGCCUUUCAUCCUUUCUGGGUCGAUAAAUUAGGUACCAGUUACGCACUGAGGUCGAUGUAAUCGACUGUCUCCCUCCCCCAAAUGUCAGGCCUUGUGCCUAUAGUAGAAAAGAUUAUAUAUAUGUUAAUGUAUAACGCGGCAAGCUGGCAGAAUUGUUAUCGCGCAGCCUUUUCCCGUCCGUCUUAGCAUUUUGCGUUGAAAUUCCGCCGAGGUCCACUUUACGUUUAUAGGCGUAGAAGUGGCUGUCUGGUAAUUAGCUUUCUUACAAACCAUAUGGUUCCAGGUUCAGUCCCACUGCGUGGCACCUUGGGCAAGUGUCUUCUACUAUAGCCUUGUGAGUGGAUUUGGUAGACGGAAAUUGAAAGAAGCCCGUCGUAUAUAUAUAUAUAUAUAUAUAUAUAUAUAUAUAUAUAUAUAUAUAUAUAUGUAUGUGUGUGUGUGUGUGUGUGUGUGUUUGUCCCCCAAUAUCACUUGAAACCGAUGCUGGUGUGUUUACGUCCCCCGUAACUUAGCGGUUCGGCAAAAGAGACCGAUAGAAUAAGUUCUAGGCUUACAUAAGAAUAAGUCCUGGGGUCGAUUUGCUCGACUAUAGGCGGUGCUCCAACAUGGCCACAGUCAAAUGACUGAAACAAGUAAAAGAGUAUGAUUGAUUUUGUGUAAGUUAGAAUAUAAUAAAAGUUUAUUAAAAUAAAAGAAAAUGACUGCUAUACGAUCUCAAUUUAUCUCCUGAACGUAACUCACGUUUGUUAUGUACCGUCUGUACAUAACCUCAGUAAUAAGUCAAAGUAUCUAUUGAUUUAGCAAUGUAUUUGAUAUAUUUCAUUAAAAAACAAAUAAUAUGUGUUGUUUUAUUAACCACUAUGUUAAUUCCCUUUCUUAAUUAACAGAAUGUCUGAUUUAAAUAUAUAUGUAUAUAAAUAUAUACAUGUAUGUAUAUACAAAUAUAUAUUUGUAUGUACUUAAAUAUAUGUAUUAUAAAUAUAUAUGUAUGUGUGUAUAAAUAUAUGCAUAUAUUUCUGAAAAUAUGUGUGUAUAUCUAUCCGUCUAUUUUAUUUAUUUGUUUAAUUAAUUUUCUCUUUCAUUUAUAUUUUUAGAAUUACAUACGAGCGGCUUUUCAUUGGAAGUAUAUAUAUACACACCUGCUGGCUUUGGGCUCUAUAUUUCUUGGACAUACAUGCACACGGUCUGCCACGUUUACCAUUUCUAAUCAAUCACUCAAACACACAAAUAAUCGAUCAAUCGAUUUACAGUUUCUAAACUUAGAAUUUAGUAUUUGCAUUUAUCAUUAUUAUUAUUGUUUUUAUUUGGAGGCGGACUGGAUUUGGAACUGAAUGGAGAUAUUAAAGAACACUUAAAACAAUACACACACGUAUUUACAUAUACAUACAUGCAUACAUAUAACAAACCUUACACCUCAAUACUUAGCAUGUUCACGUAUUCUUGGUACAUGUCUAUACAAUAAUAUAUACACACUAAACACAAAUACCCUAUAUAUAUAUAUAUAGUUUAUUAAUUAGGAAAAAAGACAGAUGGAGACCAAGAAAUUCAUAUUCGACUAAUUUUAAGGAAUCGUGUUGCGUUGGUUAAAAUUUAUUAUUAAAAUUUUUUUGUUUCUUUCUUUUUUAAAAAAAAAGAAGAAAAAUUUAAAUGUUCUGGAAAAUACUUGAAUUCUUAACAGAGGAAAAAAAGAUAAAAACAAGCAUAAAAAAUAAUUACUAAAAAUAAUAAUUAUAAUAAUCAUAAAAGAAGGGAGCGAAAUACAAAAAUUACAAAAAAAAUAAUAAUAAUAAACCGAAAGAAAGAAAGAAACAAUGACCAUCGCCGAAUUUUCUGAGACCAAAUUAACCAUG